rnacentral:rRNA from 1 species
GACGAACGCUGGCGGCGUGCCUAAUACAUGCAAGUAGAGCGCUGAGAGAGGAGCUUUCUUCCCUGGAUGAGUUGCGAACAGGGGAGUAUCGCGUAGGUAACCUGCCUCUUAGCGGGGGAGAACUAUUGGAAACGCUAGCUAAUACCGCAUAAUAUUAGAUGUUGCAUGUCAUUUGCUUAAAAGGUGCAGUUGCAUCGCUACUAGAUGGACCUGCGGUGUAUUAGCUAGUUGGUGAGGUAACGGCUCACCAAGGCAACGAUACAUAGCCGACCUGAGAGGGGGGUCGGCCACACUGGGAAUGAGACACGGCCCAGACUCCUACGGGAGGCAGCAGUAGGGAAUCUUCGGCAAUGGACGGAAGUCUGACCGAGCAACGCCGCGUGAGUGAAGAAGGUUUUCGGAUCGUAAAGCUCUGUUGUAAGGGAAGAACGAGUGUGAGAGUGGAAAGUUCACACUGUGACGGUAUCUUACCAGAAAGGGACGGCUAACUACGUG